rnacentral:rRNA from 1 species
AGAGUUUGAUCCUGGCUCAGAACGAACGCUGGCGGCAGGCUUAACACAUGCAAGUCGAGCGCCUCGCAAGAGGAGCGGCAGACGGGUGAGUAACACGUGGGAACAUACCCUUUACUACGGAACAACUCCGGGAAACUGGAGCUAAUACCGUAUGUGCCCUUCGGGGGAAAGAUUUAUCGGUAAAGGAUUGGCCCGCGUUGGAUUAGCUAGUUGGUGGGGUAAAGGCCUACCAAGGCGACGAUCCAUAGCUGGUCUGAGAGGAUGAUCAGCCACAUUGGGACUGAGACACGGCCCAAACUCCUACGGGAGGCAGCAGUGGGGAAUAUUGGACAAUGGGCGCAAGCCUGAUCCAGCCAUGCCGCGUGAGUGAUGAAGGCCUUAGGGUUGUAAAGCUCUUUCACCGAUGAAGAUAAUGACGGUAGUCGGAGAAGAAGCCCCGGCUAACUUCGUA